AGGAGCCAUGCGAGAUGAAAAUCUCAUGCACGGUUUUGAAUGAGAGAAAGAAGUUUAGGAAUCCUCUUUUUGACUCUGAC
rnacentral:ncRNA from 1 species